UUAAAUUAACAUUAAAACAAAUUAAAUCAAGUGUCGCACCAAUAACAUAUGCAACACAGUAUUCGGAAGUAAAAUUACCGUUGGGGGCGCCACUGAGCUAGGUCGAAAACAGUAACCAUAAAUGGCGGGAAAAUGUUUAUUCGGAUAUUUUGAGCGUUGUACGAAUUUUGGGGCUUCACAAUUAUUACAUUGCCUAUGCGGAAUGAUUAUUGCAUCUUUGAUGCAAGAAACGUAUGUUGACAAAUGAGAGAUGACGAGGAAAACACGAAUAACGAAUGACUGUUUGGUUCACUUUCUUUAUUGGAAAAUUAUUACAAAGACAUUGAAAAGCCUACCUUUUGGGAUAAUUUACGUUUAAAUAUAUCAGCAGUUGUUAAUCUUUAUUGUAGUUUUGUAGAUUUACCGCAGCAUUUCAUGAUUUUUUCAGUGGAAAAUUCUAACCUAAAAUUCGUAACACUUCACUAAUUUAUUGGUUUCUUGAGCCAAACUUUGUGUUCGCUGUGAUCCAUUACUUAUAAUCUUUAAUUAGACAACUCUUUGAUAACACUUUGUAAUCAAAAUUUAAAUAUUUUUCACUUUUUAUCCACUUUCAAGUUCCAACAAUAAACACUUUAUACCACGAAAAACUACAGAACCAAAGUCAACGCUAGUAUUUACCACCACGUACUUUUAAAGUAAUUCUUUCUAUUGUAAGUAAUUAACACUAUACACGCAAAAUUGUUGAACAAUUCAUUAAAUGUCAGUUAAAUGUGGCAUUACGAAAAUUUCUUUACUGUUUUCGACAUAGUUCAAAAGUCAUCACCAGAGGGCGUCUAGUUAAUUUUAUUUCCGAAUACAGAUAUCAGAAACCGUUGUCUGCAACUAUUUUAAAUUUUAACUUGUUGUUGGCAACGCUGACUGUCAACCAGGCAUCCCGAACUGAUAUAGCCAAAUCGAACCCUCACUGAAAUAGGUUUUACUGAUGAUGCGGAUAGAUGGCCUUAGUGUUUUACGGGAAAAAGAAAUCCUAUUGGCGGAUUUAAAAUUUCAGAUUAUUGAAGAAAAACGUGGUACCGAUGCGCGGCUGACAAGUAAAAAUUUUACAAACGUCAGCAAAAUUUGAGUUUAUUUUUUAUAAUAUCACGUUAAUUUUUCAAAGUUUUAUUAAGAUAGUGGUUCAAGGUGUCGUGUUUGGGUUAGACUAUUGCCUACUAUCGGUUAGGAACAACAUGGUCUUCAAAAAUAUAACGUAGUAAUGAGCUCCAGAAGGUUUUCGUAGAUAGGUGCGUUUUUCCCAAAAGUGAGUUUUUUGAAACCAAACCGCAAGUGAGUCACAUUGCGAGGAGACUCCCAUAGACAAAAGUUGCAAACAUAAGGUGCCAGUUUGGCUGAUUGCAAGUAUGUCUUUAUCAUCGAUUCGGUGACGACUGUUAGUUUUGUAAACUUAAUGGAUUUAAUAAAUAUCUUUAAUAUUAAAUGUGAUCGUGUCAUGUUGGGUAAAAUUCUUCCAUCUGUGCUGUCUGUGCAUCCACCUUUUCAAAUACAAUUAGAAAAUUUUCAUAAUAAUUGUAUUUGAUAAGGUUUUGACAUCAUUUUGACAUGAGCAAAAAUUUAAAAAAUACAAAGUAAUCGGGAUUAUUUUAAAUUCGCGCCAUUUUUAGUACGUGAUGAUGCGGCUAGAUGGCUCCAGCUAGGAAUUCAUUGCCAACCAUUAUGUUCCGCUUCUAUAAAAGUGUUAUUCUAGGCUGUCAACCCCAUCUGUUUUACUUUUGAUGCUCGUCGGUGUGUUAACUUUCGCUGCAUAGAAUAACAAAACACAAAAAAAAACAAAGAAAAAAUCAAGAUAAGAUAAAAUGGAUUUAAAUCAGUUAUUAAACGAGUUCCGACAGUUGCAAAUCAUACGCAAGACUGUGAAGAGUCAGAAAAUUCGAAAAAUAACAUUUUGUGCACGUGUUAAAAUGGAACAGGGGUCGCCGGUCUUUUGGGCCACAAUUAGUUUUACACCAAGCGUUGUAAUGACUAUUGUUGAAUCAACUCUUCCAAAUAAUUUUUCACAGCGCAGGCAGUUGAUGAUUUUACAAGAAGAAGUCGAGACUUACCAUAAAGACAACGAUUCCAUUGAAAUUAACUUUCAGGCUCACAUAAAUAAACCUGACCCAUUAAUUAUAUUUGAGAAUAUUGAAGCAACAAAUGAUUUUGAGAUUGCGUUUCGCCAUUUCAUGGAGUAUAGUACAUAAUCCAGAAGUAACAAUAUAUAGAAAAAAUCCAAUGCUUUUGUACUUUUUUUGCAAAUAAAUAUUUAAAUAUCA